AUGGUGUGGUCCACCCGCGUACCCCUGAAGAUACGUAUCUUCAUGUGGCAAUCGAUUCGUGGUCGGGCCCCGUCCGGGGUGGAGGUGCGCAAGCGAAAUGCCCCGGGUACUGGCAUCUGUCCGCUUUGUGGGGUCCCCGAAGACUCGAACCACAUUUUCUUCUCCUGCGUAUCCGCCCAGUUCCUUUGGAGCUGCUUUCGCGAAGCUGUCGGUGGAAAUUGGUGCCACACCAAUUUCCCGGACUUAUUUGCCGAACUCCAGAUGUCCCCCGUGACUUCUCGUCACAUUAGUGGCUUGAGAUUGGGGUUCUUGCCUGGACCCUCUGGACUGUCCGCAAUAAGCUUGUGA
rnacentral:rRNA from 1 species